GGACUGGAGUCUGCAACCCGACUCCACGAAGUUGGAUUCGCUAGUAAUCGCGCAUCAGCCAUGGCGCGGUGAAUACGUUCCCGGGCCUUGUACACACCGCCCGUCAUGCCAUGGGAGCCGGGGGCGCCUGAAGUCCGGGACCGCGAGGACCGGCCUAGGGCGAAACUGGUAACUGGGGCUAAGUCGUAACAAGGUACC
rnacentral:rRNA from 1 species